UACGGAGGGAGCUAGCGUUAUUCGGAAUUACUGGGCGUAAAGCGCACGUAGGCGGCUUUGUAAGUUAGAGGUGAAAGCCUGGAGCUCAACUCCAGAACUGCCUUUAAGACUGCAUCGCUUGAAUCCAGGAGAGGUGAGUGGAAUCCGAGUGUAGAGGUGAAAUUCGUAGAUAUUCGGAAGAACACCAGUGGCGAAGGCGGCUCACUGGACUGGUAUUGACGCUGAGGUGCGAAAGCGUGGGGAGCAAACAGG
rnacentral:rRNA from 1 species